UCGCGAUGUUGCGAUGACUUCGGUCUUGCGGCACGCUGCCUUUCACGAGAUUGGUAUCGUCGGCGUGCACUUCUCCCCUAGUAGGACGUCGCGACCCGUUGGGUGUCGGUCUACGGCCCGAGUGGGCGCCUGUCUCGUGUGGCACUUUACGGUGUCACUGCGGGGCAGACCCUCGGUUGCCUGACCGGCUGCCCGGCGGUACUCGCAAGGUAUCUGGCCGCAAAUAUUCGAACUGCGUCCAGCCCGUCGCAAGCGAGGCAAGUGUUUCCCGAAUGUACGGAUCUAAUGCCGUCAUCGGGCCUGGCCAGCUGUUGGUUGACGGUGUCCUAGGACAGGCUAUAACAAUUAUGAUACCGGUCAGCGACGCUACUGCUUUGGGUACUUUCAGGACCCGUCUUGAAACACGGACCAAGGAGUCUAACAUGUGCGCGAGUCAUUGGGAACUAUUAAGCCUAAAGGCGCAAUGAAAGUGAAGGUCGGCCUCGCGCCGACCGAGG
rnacentral:rRNA from 1 species